UUUAUGGAGAGUUUGAUCCUGGCUCAGGAUGAACGCUGGCGGCGUGCCUAAUACAUGCAAGUCGAGCGAACGGACGAGAAGCUUGCUUCUCUGAUGUUAGCGGCGGACGGGUGAGUAACACGUGGAUAACCUACCUAUAAGACUGGGAUAACUUCGGGAAACCGGAGCUAAUACCGGAUAAUAUUUUGAACCGCAUGGUUCAAAAGUGAAAGACGGUCUUGCUGUCACUUAUAGAUGGAUCCGCGCUGCAUUAGCUAGUUGGUAAGGUAACGGCUUACCAAGGCAACGAUGCAUAGCCGACCUGAGAGGGUGAACGGCCACACUGGAACUGAGACACGGUCCAGACUCCUACGGGAGGCAGCAGUAGGGAAUCUUCCGCAAUGGGCGAAAGCCUGACGGAGCAACGCCGCGUGAGUGAUGAAGGUCUUCGGAUCGUAAAACUCUGUUAUUAGGGAAGAACAUAUGUGUAAGUAACUGUGCACAUCUUGACGGUACCUAAUCAGAAAGCCACGGCUAACUACGUGCCAGCAGCCGCGGUAAUACGUAGGUGGCAAGCGUUAUCCGGAAUUAUUGGGCGUAAAGCGCGCGUAGGCGGUUUUUUAAGUCUGAUGUGAAAGCCCACGGCUCAACCGUGGAGGGUCAUUGGAAACUGGAAAACUUGAGUGCAGAAGAGGAAAGUGGAAUUCCAUGUGUAGCGGUGAAAUGCGCAGAGAUAUGGAGGAACACCAGUGGCGAAGGCGACUUUCUGGUCUGUAACUGACGCUGAUGUGCGAAAGCGUGGGGAUCAAACAGGAUUAGAUACCCUGGUAGUCCACGCCGUAAACGAUGAGUGCUAAGUGUUAGGGGGUUUCCGCCCCUUAGUGCUGCAGCUAACGCAUUAAGCACUCCGCCUGGGGAGUACGACCGCAAGGUUGAAACUCAAAGGAAUUGACGGGGACCCGCACAAGCGGUGGAGCAUGUGGUUUAAUUCGAAGCAACGCGAAGAACCUUACCAAAUCUUGACAUCCUUUGACAACUCUAGAGAUAGAGCCUUCCCCUUCGGGGGGGCAAAGUGACAGGUGGUGCAUGGUUGUCGUCAGCUCGUGUCGUGAGAUGUUGGGUUAAGUCCCGCAACGAGCGCAACCCUUAAGCUUAGUUGCCAUCAUUAAGUUGGGCACUCUAAGUUGACUGCCGGUGACAAACCGGAGGAAGGUGGGGAUGACGUCAAAUCAUCAUGCCCCUUAUGAUUUGGGCUACACACGUGCUACAAUGGACAAUACAAAGGGCAGCGAAACCGCGAGGUCAAGCAAAUCCCAUAAAGUUGUUCUCAGUUCGGAUUGUAGUCUGCAACUCGACUACAUGAAGCUGGAAUCGCUAGUAAUCGUAGAUCAGCAUGCUACGGUGAAUACGUUCCCGGGUCUUGUACACACCGCCCGUCACACCACGAGAGUUUGUAACACCCGAAGCCGGUGGAGUAACCUUUUAGGAGCUAGCCGUCGAAGGUGGGACAAAUGAUUGGGGUGAAGUCGUAACAAGGUAGCCGUAUCGGAAGGUGCGGCUGGAUCACCUCCUUUCUA
rnacentral:rRNA from 1 species